CACCUUGGGACUCCUGGAGAAGAAUGUCCACCCCUCUUAGGUUGUUUAUUUACAUUGUUCUUUAUGGGUGGUAAAAAUGUGCUGUGGGGUGGGAUAUUUGGGACCCACGCAUCUGUCUCGCCAGCUUAACUCUUGGGAUGGAGUAUGGAUUGCAAAGAUGGAUUUCCACUCUGUCUUUCCUUCCAAGCACUGCGCUAAGUCUUUGAUAGGCUUUCAGUAGGGUAAAAAUGACAGACAACAGGGAAGAGUUUGUUGGGUGAUACUAAGGAAGAACUGAAUUUAGCCAAACCUAGAGUUUUUUUAAAUAUAUUUUAUUUUUAAUUAUGUGUGUGUAUUGUGGCAGGGCAGGGAGUGUGCAGAUAACUACAAGUGAUUAUAGAGGCCGGAAGAGGGUCUCAGAUUCUCUGUGACUUCAAUACCAGGGAGUUGUGAGCCUCUCAGUGUGAGUACUAGAAAUUAAACUCGGGUCCUCAGAAAGACUAUCACGUAUGCUUUCUUAACCUCUGGGCCAUCCCUGUCUGUGUAGCCUCUCCAUUUCAAAAGAUAUAUAUUUUACUCAUCAGUCACUUUCAUGGAUUCAUGAUAGCCAAUUGUAUUUUGAUUAUGGAUUAUUUGAUUUUAUUGUUAAUUUUGACUGAUAAGCUCUCAGAAACAAGGUAUUGGGGACAUUUCUUUUUGUGUAGUGAUGAAUUCCCCAAUAUGCUGCACUUUCUUUUUUCUGUGGCAUAAAUUGGCAAAGAAGGCCUGCUCAGGAUCAACCAAGGCAAGUGGCAAGAGGAAGAUCUCUACCUGAAAGGAUUCCUGAUGCCCUCAUGUGUGCUGGGCAGGUGAUACCAGAGGAGAGGCUCGCUGCAUGCACCUGGCACAAUGCUGGAAGGUUUAUGAAUAUUUUAUAUCACUCAUGCUUCAUUCUCUGAGAUAAUAUCAUUUAUGCUAUUGAAUAGGGAGCAGAAACUGUGAAAAUUAUGUAAUUGGGGAAAAGUAGAUAUUAAUGUGAUCAGGGUUAGAGGCAGGUGAGAGCGCUGCCCUGACAUGGAGCAGGCCCUGGGUUCAAUCCCCAGCCUUUCAGAAAGAACCAAGACAGUAAUACUGCUAAUGGGAUAUAUAGUCUAAUAUUUUGAGAUACUCCAGAAAAAGACAAGGCUUUCACUGACUCCAGAUGUUUUUCAGUAU
rnacentral:lncRNA from 1 species